AGACCUCUGUUUAUGGGAGUUUUUCUAAAGUAUUACACUGGUUAAGACUUGCAGUGGACUAUGGAAUCUAGAACUGAAUGCUGAAGCAUGGAUUCAUGCAGGAUUUACUGAAUGAUGAUGAACAAUGUGAUUAAUGACUAGGAGGACAUCUCCUCUUCUUGUAUCAAGGGCAUCUUCUACAG